rnacentral:rRNA from 1 species
GAUGUUGCCUGAAAAGUUUUGCAUGGAAUAAUGGAAUAGGACUUCGGUUCUAUUUCGUUGGUUUUCGGAUCCGAAGUAAUGAUCAAAAGAGACAGGCGGGGACGUUUGUAUGGCUGCGCUAGAGGUGAAAUUCAUGGACCGUAGCCAGACAAACUAAAGCGAAAGCAUUCGUCAAGCAUGUUUUCAUUGGCCAUGAGCGAAAGUCAGAGGCUCGAAGACGAUCAGAUACCGUCCUAGUUCUGACCAUAAACGAUGCCAACUGACGAUCCGUGGCGGUAGUUUACAAACCUUCCCCACGGGCAGUCCCCGGGAAACCUUUAAGUGUUUGGGUUCCGGGGGAAGUAUGGUUGCAAAGCUGAAACUUAAAGGAAUUGACGGAAGGGCACCACCAGGAGUGGAGCCUGCGGCUUAAUUUGACUCAACACGGGAAAACUCACCCGGGCCGGACACUAUGAGGAUUGACAGAUUGAUAGC